GACGAACGCUGGCGGCGUGCUUAACACAUGCAAGUCGAACGAAGUGGCGAACGGGUGAGUAACGCGUAAUCAACCUGCCCUCAACUGUGGGAUAAGCCUGGGAAACUGGGUCUAAUACUGCAUAGUUGGGGAUGGGCUCGCGGUCUAUCAGCUUGUUGGUGGGGUGAUGGCCUACCAAGGCGGUGACGGGUAGCCGGCUUGAGAGGGUGAUCGGACACAUUGGGACGGAGAUACGGCUCAGGCUGCUACGAGAGGGAGAAGUGGGGGAUAUGGCACAAUGCGGGCAAGGCUGAUCCAGGGACGUCGCGUGGGGGUUGGAGGCUUUCGGGUUGUAAACCUCUGACGAUGCAGAACGGGUAUGUGCAGAAGAAGCGCCGGCUAACUACGUGCCAGCAGCCGCGGUAAUAC
rnacentral:rRNA from 1 species